rnacentral:rRNA from 1 species
GACGAACGCUGGCGGCGUGCUUAACACAUGCAAGUCGAGCGGUAAGGCCCUUUUGGGGGGUACACGAGCGGCGAACGGGUGAGUAACACGUGGGUGACCUGCCCUCAGCUCUGGGAUAAGCCUGGGAAACUGGGUCUAAUACUGGAUACGACCUUUCCUCGCAUGGGGGUUGGGUGGAAAGUUUUUCGGCUGGGGAUGGGCCCGCGGCCUAUCAGCUUGUUGGUGGGGUGAUGGCCUACCAAGGCGACGACGGGUAGCCGGCCUGAGAGGGCGACCGGCCACACUGGGACUGAGACACGGCCCAGACUCCUACGGGAGGCAGCAGUGGGGAAUAUUGCGCAAUGGGCGAAAGCCUGACGCAGCGACGCCGCGU